AUUGAACGCUGGCGGCAGGCCUAACACAUGCCAGUCGAGCGGAUGAAGGGAGCUUGCUCCUGGAUUCAGCGGCGGACGGGUGAGUAAUGCCUAGGAAUCUUCCUGGUAGUGGGGGAUAACGUCCGGAAACGGGCGCUAAUACCGCAUACGUCCUGAGGGAGAAAGUGGGGGAUCUUCGGACCUCACGCUAUCAGAUGAGCCUAGGUCGGAUUAGCUAGUUGGUGGGGUAAAGGCCUACCAAGGCGACGAUCCGUAACUGGUCUGAGAGGAUGAUCAGUCACACUGGAACGGAUACACGGUCCAGAGUGCUACGGGAGGCGGCAGUGGGGAAUAUUGGACAAUGGGCGAAAGCAUGAUCCAGCCAUGCCGCGUGUGUGAAGAAGGUCUUCGGAUUGUAAAGCACUUUAAGUUGGGAGGAAGGGCAGUAAGUUAAUACCUUGCUGUUUUGACGUUACCAACAGAAUAAGCACCGGCUAACUUCGUG
rnacentral:rRNA from 1 species